UGUAAGCGUAUACCAAAGUUGUUGCAGUUAAAACGCUCGUAGUCGGAAUUUGGCAGUUCCGGAUGUGUGCACGUCGUGUGCGCACUUCGCGGGGAUUGCUUUUGUGGUCUUGCGUAGGAUGAGGCACUUUUAUUAGUGAACGUCCUCACGCAACCACUUUUUACUGUGAGAAAAUCAGAGUGCUCAAAGCAGGCAUUUGCCGUGAAUGUAUUAGCAUGGAAUAAUAGAAUAGGACUUGGUUCUAUUUUGUUGGUUUGUUGGGACUGAGUAAUGAUUAAGAGGGAUAGUUGGGGGCAUUUGUAUUUCGGUGCUAGAGGUGAAAUUCUUAGAUUACCGAAAGACAAACUGCUGCGAAAGCGUCUGCCAAGGAUGUUUUCAUUGA
rnacentral:rRNA from 1 species